rnacentral:misc_RNA from 1 species
AAGUCAUAACAAGGUUUCCGUAGGUGAACCUGCGGAAGGAUCAUUAUUGAAUUCGGCCUUUUGGCCUUAAAUCAUUAAUAACACUGUGAACCGUGGCUUCGGCCCAAACUUGAAGUCUAGAAUGUGAUAUAUGAUAACAAAAUACAACUUUUAACAACGGAUCUCUUGGCUCUC